rnacentral:rRNA from 1 species
AUGGUCCUCACAUCACAACACCCGAGCAAGGCUGGCAAGGCUUGCUCGCCAUGGCCUACCACAUCGGCGAGACGGGGCGAGCAUGUGAUCACCAUCAGCAGUUCCUUCGUCACAACACCUGAGCGAGCGAGAUGUUCAGACAAAGUUAUAUGUUACACUGCUAUUGACAUAUGUCAUAGAUGGACAGUACAUAUCGUUUCUCUCCAUGUUAUAAUUUCUGUGACCUCGGCAUUUGAAAGACAUGUCAUCCGAAUCGUCUAUCAUAACUGA